rnacentral:rRNA from 1 species
CCCUUAGAUGUUCUGGGCCGCACGCGCGCUACACUGAAGGGAUCAGCGUGCUUUCCCUUUCCGAGAGGAACGGGUAACCCGCUGAACCCCCUUCGUGGUAGGGAUCGGAGCUUGCAAUUGUUCUCCGUGAACCAGGAAUUCCCAGUAAGCGCAAGUCAUAAGCUUGCGUUGAUUACGUCCCUGCCCUUUGUACACACCGCCCGUCGCUACUACCGAUUGAACGUUUUAGUGAGGUAUUUGGACUGGGCCUUGGGAGGUUUCGGCCUCCCUUGUUGCUCGGAAAGACUCCCAAACUUGAGCGUUUAGAGGAAGUAAAAGUCGUAACA